rnacentral:lncRNA from 1 species
AACCCCCACACUGCCUCGACCCUUCUCCCUCACAAUGCAAGAGCCUUAAGCCACGGACUCAGCUUUCUCCGCCCCUCGCAAUCUGGACUCGGCUGUCUCCGUCCCUUUCCGUCUAUACUCGGCCUUCUCCGCCUCUCUCCGUCUGGACUCCGCGCUCUCCGCCCCCCCCUCCUGAACUCGGCGCUCUCCGCCUGGGCCCGGCUGUCUCCGCCCCUCUCCGUCUGUACUCGGCUCUCCCCGUCUACAUUCGGCUUUCUCCGUCUAUACUGGGCUUUCUCCUUCUGGCUCUGUCUGAACCCGUCUCUCUUCUGCCUUUUCCGUCUAUACUUGGCCCUCUCUGCACCGCUCCAUCUGAACUCGGCAGUCUCCUUCUCUCUCCGUCUAUACUCGGCUCUCUCCGUCUACAUUCGGCUUUUUCCUUCUGGCUCUGGACCGGGCUCUCUCCGCCCUUUUCUGUCUAUACUCGGCUCUCCCCUCCCUGUCCGUCUAUAUUCGGGUCUCUCCGUCUACACUCGGCUCUCUCCGUCUGGACUCAGGUUUCUCUUUCUGGCUCUGUCUGGACCCGGCUGUCUCCGGCCUUUUUUGUCUAUACUCAGCUUUCUCCGUCUACUUUCGGCUCUCUCCGUUUAUACUCGGCGUUCUCUUUCUGGACCUGACUUUCUCCUUGUGGUUCUCUGGACUCGGUUCUCUCCGCCCCUCUCCGUCUCAACCCGGCUCUCUCCGCCCUUUUCCGUCUGGUCCCGGCUUUCUCCGCCUCUUCCCGCCUGUUCUCGGCUCUCUCCGGCUGGACUCGGCUUUCUCCCUCGGGCUCUGCCUGGACCCGGCUCUCUCUGGCCUUUUUUGUCUGUACUCGGCCCUCUCCGCCCCUCUCCGUCUGAACUCGGCUCUGCCCGCCUCCCUCAGUGUGGGCUCCGCUCCGUCUGCGGUCGGCCUCCUUGCUUGUCUCUGCUACGCGGGCUUUUUCCGCCUCUGUCAAGCCGGAGCCUGCGGCGCUCUCCCUGGGGCUCUGUGCUCUCCCGCCCCGAGUUCAGGACGAGGAAGGCCUGGCGCACCCCCUCUCGGGACUCCGACCCUCUGGGUCUUCCCCGCCGCGUCUGCGUGCUCCAGCCCCUUCCCCUCAGUCUCCGCAAGAGGCUCUCGGUGACUCCAGCGUGGAGCCGCCUGCUCCGGGUCCCGCGAAGGUUGCACGGGCGCCGCCGAGGGUGUGCCGUCGCGUGUCGGGACUCGGAGCCUGUGUCGGGGUGGCUGCCGUUAUCUCCUGCCGAGGGGCUCGUCUGCCUGCUUCCCUGUCGGGCGCCAGUAACGCGGCGAAGACGCGACCACGUGGCCGGAAGGCAGAGCCGAGUGCUGUGGCCGAAGGAGGAUGGCCGCCAGCAGCAUGCGGCCGCUCCUCCCCAGACCUCUGCAGGCAGCCGGCCCUGCCCGCGCUGGGUUUCUUCUCAGCGACGCUGA